GCUGUUUGUUUAAUUUGUGGAGCAGAGAAAUGUAGAUUGUGUGUGGGAAGUGGUAAUGUGACAGUAGAGCUUGGUGGUGGAGAGAAAGAAGUCUCCAACUGCAUCAACUGUGAUGGUGCUGGUUCUUUAACUUGCACUACUUGUCAAGGCUCUGGUGUUCAACCUCGAUACCUUGAUCGAAGGGAGUUCAAGGACGAUGACUAAAUAAAUGUCUUUGCACUAGAGAAAACAGAUCAAAGUAUCUUUUUUUCCUCCCUUCUCACAUUUCUUCAUUGUACAAUGCUGUUUUGUUCACCAAGCAUAUGACAGAACAACAUGUUGUAUCAAAGAGAUCAAUCAAAAUGUUUCUUCCGUUGUAAUGAAGUAGCAUGACAUAACAACAUGUAUCUUCAUCUUGCUGAUACUA